rnacentral:tRNA from 1 species
GCUUUUGUGGUGUAGUGGUCAGCACGCUCAGCGCGUAUUCCAGAAGUUCGUGGUUCGAGUCCCAGCGAAGGCA